rnacentral:rRNA from 1 species
UACGUAGGGUGCGAGCGUUAAUCGGAAUUACUGGGCGUAAAGCGUGCGCAGGCGGUUAUGUAAGACAGGUGUGAAAUCCCCGGGCUUAACCUGGGAACUGCAUUUGUGACUGCAUAGCUAGAGUACGGUAGAGGGGGAUGGAAUUCCGCGUGUAGCAGUGAAAUGCGUAGAUAUGCGGAGGAACACCGAUGGCGAAGGCAAUCCCCUGGACCUGUACUGACGCUCAUGCACGAAAGCGUGGGGAGCAAACAGA